UACGGAGGGUGCAAGCGUUAUCCGGAUUUACUGGGCUUAAAGGGUGCGUAGGUGGGUAGGUAAGUCAGUGGUGAAAUCUUCGAGCUUAACUCGGAAACUGCCAUUGAUACUAUUUAUCUUGAAUACUCUGGAGGUAAGCGGAAUAUGUCAUGUAGCGGUGAAAUGCUUAGAUAUGACAUAGAACACCAAUUGCGAAGGCAGCUUACUACAUAGUUAUUGACACUGAGGCACGAAAGCGUGGGGAGCAAACAGG
rnacentral:rRNA from 1 species